AUCGUGUCCUUCUAAUCUAGCCAGCUGUUCAUGGCUAAGAAAAUGACGUUCAGCCUUAUUAGGCUCCUUGGAAGACCCAAUUAGUGCCGGAGCUGUGAUACUUCUCGUUUAUAAGGCUUUGAAGGAUACCACAAUCUGAAAUGAGCAGAGCCUGUUUAUGAGAACAGUUCAGCCAAAUUCAAUUGCAAGCGUGCCACUGUGAGGCAGUGAAGAGAAAAUGAGUCUUGGCUCCUGUGAAUGCAGUCAAUUUGGACCUCACUGGAAAUACAGCAUCUAAUCAAAUACAAAGCCAAUUUGUGAUUAAGAAUUUGGGACAACUUUUAA